UACGUAGGUCGCAAGCGUUGUCCGGAUUUACUGGGCGUAAAGCGUGCGCAGGCGGUUUUGUAAGUCAGAUGUGAAAUCCCCCGGGCUUAACCUGGGAACUGCAUUUGUGACUGCACGGCUGGAGUGCGGCAGAGGGGGAUGGAAUUCCGCGUGUAGCAGGUGAAAUGCGUAGAUAUGCGGAGGAACACCGAUGGCGAAGGCAAUCCCCUGGGCCUGCACUGACGCUCAUGCACGAAAGCGUGGGGAGCAAACAGG
rnacentral:rRNA from 1 species